AAUGGGGGCAACCCUGAUCCAGCCAUGCCGCGUGAGUGAAGAAGGCCUUAGGGUUGUAAAGCUCUUUCACCCGUGACGAUGAUGACGGUAGCGGGAGAAGAAGCCCCGGCUAAUUCCGUGCCAGCAGCCGCGGUAAUACGGAAGGGGCUAGCGUUGUUCGGAAUUACUGGGCGUAAAGCGCGCGUAGGCGGCCAUGCAAGUGAGGCGUGAAAGGCCUGGGCUCAAACUGGGAACNGCGCUUCAGUCUGCACGGCUCGAGUCCGGGAGAGGGUGGUGGAAUUCCCAGUGUAGAGGUGAAAUUCGUAGAUAUUCGGAAGAACACCAGUGGCGAAGGCGACUGACUGGACAAGUAUUGACGCUGAGGUGCGAAAGCGUGGGGAGCAAA
rnacentral:rRNA from 1 species